GACAGAGGGUGCAAACGUUGUUCGGAUUUACUGGGCGUAAAGCGCGUGUAGGCGGCCUUGCAAGUCGGAUGUGAAAGCCCACGGCUCAACCGUGGAAGUGCAUCCGAAACUGCAUAGCUUGAGUCUCGGAGAGGAAGGUGGAAUGCUUGGUGUAGAGGUGAAAUUCGUAGAUAUCAAGCAGAACGCCUGCGGCGAAGGCGGCCUUCUGGACGAUGACUGACGCUGAGACGCGAAAGCGUGGGGAGCAAACAGG
rnacentral:rRNA from 1 species